UACGUAGGGGGCGAGCGUUAUCCGGAUUCACUGGGUGUAAAGGGAGCGUAGACGGCCAUGCAAGCCAGGGGUGAAAGCCCGGGGCCCAACCCCGGGACUGCCCUUGGAACUGCAUGGCUGGAGUGCGGGAGGGGCAGGCGGAAUUCCUGGUGUAGCGGUGAAAUGCGUAGAUAUCAGGAGGGACACCGGCGGCGAAGGCGGCCUGCUGGACCGCGACUGACGUUGAGGCCCGAAAGCGUGGGGAGCAAACAGG
rnacentral:rRNA from 1 species